CAGGUAAAUUGAUGAGUGUUAUUGUAAUGGUAUAUGGCUCUAUGAACAGCUUUUUAAGAGAUGGUGCCUCCACCUAAAACUGUCUCAUGGUGUCGCUAUUGGACACGUAAUAAAUUAAGUGAUUCACGCAUUUAUACCUCUUAAUUUAUAUUAUUUUAUCGUAAUGUUACAAAGAGGCACUUCUCUUGUCUCAUAGAAAAAAAAAUGCAAAUUUAAACAUAAAACUACUUGAAUUUAACCUGUGUGCAGUUUUGCCACAUCCUUUAGUGAACUUCGUGUCACACUUGUAGGUUGCACAACGGGUCAUUUUUGAAGUCUGUACAAUCCCUGUAGCGCAGACGUUGGAGGCCUCUAGAGGUAGGGAUUAGUAAAAUGGCGGAUCGAACACUCCCAGUGGCUUCACUGCCUGUUGGCAGUUUAGAACGCCAUGAGCGAUCCAGUCAUAUAUAGAUCAGUGGCCAGAACUCAUUUCACACAGCAGGAUUGUGAAUCGCUGACAGGACCAGAUAGUUAGCAUGCCAAAUAUUUCACGGGCUUCAGCGACGUGUCAGCAAUUUUCUCAGAUUGGGUUUUUUAAUCUCACACAGAGUGAUUGUCACUCACGUGAACAAACACCGAUUUGCCUCUGAUUUCAGGCAUUUGUCAGCGAUAUUGCAAAACCUGUCAGUGAGUGAAAAUCUGGGCCGAAAUUGUGCAGUGUGAACUCGGCAUAAGUGCACCUGUGCCAUGCGCUUAGAUCAUUAAAAUAGGGCCCUGAGAGUGAGUGAACAAAACAGCCCCGUCAUAAAGAAUACAGAGUAUAUAAACUUAUGUGGACUUAACAUUGGUGUACUUAAACUUCAUCCACAAGUGCAAAAAGUUCUAACAGUGCAUUGUACUAGUAAGGGGAUAUGCCAAAUACAUUGUUAACAUUUGUGGCAUUUGUUGAUCAAUAAAGAAGUAAUCAGCCCUCCAAUAUAUGUUAAAAACUGUUAGUGAUGAAGUUUCCCACCUUCAUCUGCACCAAUCCUGGAGAUUUACAAUCUCCACUCUACACACCUGAUCCAGCUGAUUAAGAUCUUCAGAAACAAGAGUACUGACCAGGAUUUGAACUAAACUCUGCAGGAAGUUAUAUCUCCAGGAACAGGAUUGAUAAACACUGAAUUAGACAUUAUCAGAAGAUCUUAAAUGGAUUAAGCUGUCACAUAUUACUGUGCGUUUUUGCAUUUGUUGAAAAGGGCAGAUAUAUUGACACUCGAACCCGAUAGGACAAGGUGUUUGAAAAAAAAAAAAUACAGAUGAAUUUGACAAGUUUAUUAGUUGAAGAGUCAAACCUAAUGAAAGAAACAGUGAGAACCUUAUCAUAUCAGAUAAUUAAUUUUCUGCAUUGUUUCAAUAUCUGUCUCUGCUGGGAGGUAAAACUCCAGGUGACCCUGUGAGACGAAUGAUGAGAUAAAACGGAACCAGUGCCCUUUGAGCCAAUUAGAGUUUGAAGGGUCGAAAGGGGAAAAAGGAAUUUUCAGGACCUGGCGAUAUAUCCCGCCAUAAUCUAGGUCUGCCACAAAAUCCAUUCCACAACUCUGCAGAAGAUGGUUGAAAACUGUAUAGCGGAUGCACUGAGAUAUGCUCCUCCCAGAGGGACUCAGAUUUGGAGUUUUGGAAAUCAUCCAGUCGCAAGAUCUUCGCAAUUAAAAGCAUUGAGUUGGUGAAACUUAAAAGACAAGAGAAUGUGUCUAAAAAGAAAAGGGGCAUAAUGAAGGACAUCUUCUGGAUGAAAGUCGAUCAGUGUGUCAUGACCCUGCAGGAGCACCAGAGGGGGUUACCUGAUUGAAUCUUUUGGCGCUGAUUAAACACUAAAAUGCAAAAGUUUGCACUUUUACAAGAAGUUUAGUUUAGCUGUUUCCAAGUUUCCAAGAAGUGUUUCUUGAGCAGGCCAAUAUAUUCAUGUUAUUCAUUUAAAUAUUUUUUGUUAUUAAAGA